CUUGAUGGAGCCGAGCCACAGCGGCCGGUCCGCGGGCCGGUCCUGGCCGUAGGUGGCGAGGAGGGCGUGCGCCUC
rnacentral:antisense_RNA from 2 species